UUGCCGCAUUAGACGGAUGCUUACGAACCAGGUCAGGACAGGAAUGUAGCAGCCUUAAGUAUAGACCAUCUGGGUUAGUGCGGUUUUUU
rnacentral:SRP_RNA from 1 species